rnacentral:piRNA from 1 species
UACACUAGCAAGAUUUUAUCGAAAGAAC